GACAGGCUGGACCACCAAGAUGGAGUCAGAGACCCAGGUCUUCAUAUUCCUGCUCCUUUGGAUGUCUGGUGCUGAGGGGAACAUUGUGAUGACUCAGUCUCCCGAAUUCAUGUCCACAUCUGUAGGAGACAGGAUCACCCUAAGCUGCAAGUCCAGUCAGGGUGUGGAUAACUAUGUAAAUUGGUACCAACAGAAAUCAGGGCAGCCUCCUAAACUGCUAAUCUAUGGUGCAUCCAAUCGCCCCUCUGGGGUCCCUGAUCGCUUCACAGGCAGUGGAUCUGGGACAGAUUUCACUCUCUCCAUCAGCAGUGUUCAGGCAGAAGACCUGGCAGUUUAUUACUGUCAAAAUGGUUAUAGUACUCCUCACACAGUGCUUCAGCCUCCAACACAAACCUCCUUGAGAAUCUCACCAGCUGUCUGUACCACACACAGCCCUGGGCCCGCAUAG